AAUGAAUAAUAUCUAAUGAAUAUAAAUUUUAAAUAAUAAUUUUGACAAAAUUAUUAAGCAUAUAAUAAUUUUUCUAUUAGACAAGUGAAAAAUUAUAUCAACAUAACUUCUACCAAAUACUUUAGUGAUGUACCUUUUAAGAUACAGCUACCCAACUUCAAUCUAAAACGCACAAGAUUUCUAUCUCAUUUUAAUUUUUUUUUAACAACGAAAAGACAGAAAUAAGCAUCAGCCAUGUUUUUAGAAAGAAAAAUGUUAUUUUAACCAAAAAAAUAAUUUAAAAAUUUUUAAAAUAAUAUGAAAAGACUAAUUUGUCUUGAUGGAAAAGAUUAGUUAUACCUACUCCGAUAUUUUUAUCGAAAUGUUAUCUCAUGCAAUUUUAAGGCAUAAUAUACAUACACAUUGGAUAAUGCUAGAGAAGAAUCAUUCUAAUGAGCUGCACUGCAUAUGUGGAACAUUUCAGCUCACAUUUUUUAUUAUGUCAUUCCACUUUCUAGCAUAUCCUCUUCAAUUCUUCUUUUGGUCGGAAAGUGCAUAUUCGUUAAAUUACAGUUUCAAAUAAUAAUAAUUAAAACAUUAUCACAUUUAAGCGGUCGAUAAAAUUUGGCCGACCACAUAUUGAUAGAUACCACAAAAAUAUAAUAACAAUAAAGCAAAGCAUAAUUAUGUUUUCUCUGAUUUAAAAAGAUAAAUUGCAAAUCAUCAUCAUAUUCCAACAAGCAUUAAUAGUUGUUUGCUAACGUCGUGGCCUAUUAUAUUCCUUCUUGCUCUCUUGCAUGAUAAGUUUUUCGGCUCCAUUUACGCUAAACCCAAACGCCAUCCAAAUUAUUCGAGUUCAAUAACCAUGUUAACAUUCACAUACUCUUUAAAUAUGCAAACAUAACGUUUUUUUUCUUUAAUUUAUUUUCUCAAAGCACAUCUACUUAAAUAAAUAAAAAUUGCAUUUUUUUUUAAUAAACUCGCAUUUGCAUUGAUA
rnacentral:lncRNA from 1 species